UUUCGCAGGUGGUCCAGCCGUGAUACUCAUCAUAACUGGAGCCGUGAAGCAUCAAAGCUAUGGCUAUGAACAAAGUUGCUGGCUGAAUCCAAGAGAUGGGACAAUCUGGGCAUUCACCGGCCCGGCUAUAGCAAUCGUACUCGUCAACGUAGUUAUUCUCCUACUGGUUGUAAAGACAGUUGUGUCUGCAUCUCGAGGUCAACUUAACAACGAUAAGAUUAAGCAAAUCAAAGCUGGACUUCGGAGCACUUUGUUGCUCUUCCCCCUGCUUGGUAUCGCUUGGUUAUUGACACCUG